rnacentral:rRNA from 1 species
UACGUAGGCAGCAAGCGUUGUUCGGAGUUACUGGGCGUAAAGGGUGUGUAGGCGGUUCCCUAAGUUUGGUGUGAAAUCUCCCCGGCUCAACCGGGAGGGGUGCGCCCAACGAAACGUGAGGACUGGAGUGCGGGAGAGGAGAGUGGAAUUCCUGGGUGUAGCGGUGAAAUGCGUAGAUAUCAGGAGGAACACCGGCGGUGUAGACGGCUCUCUGGACCGUAACUGACGCUGAGACACGAAAGCGUGGGGAGCAAACAGG